GGUCUCCGACGAAAGCCAUCCACGGGGGAGGGAAAGUUGCGGGUGGGACGCGGCGGGCGCCGCCGCCCCCGGCCCCGGGGGGCACCGUGCCGGGGCAGGAGGGGCCGCCGGCAGCGCGGCCGCGGCAGACUGGGACCGCGCCGGCCGGCGCCUUCCGCCCAGCCCAGGCUUUCCCUCUCCUCCCCGCCGCUCGCCCCCACCUCCCUCCUCCUCCUCCUCCUCCUCCUCCUCCUUCUCCUCCUCCGCCGCCGCCGCCUCCCGCGCUCCCGCGCUCCCGCCCGCCCCCCGCCGCCGCCGCGGGGGAGCUCCCGCCCGCCCGGGUGCGCGCUGGGGUUGUAACUGCAGGGUGGCGCGAAGGACCGGGGUUUCCUCCCCCCCCCGUGUCCGCCCUCUGCCGCCGCGCUCGGCAUCUCCGCCAUCCUCACUGCCCGCUGGAGACCGGGUGCUGGGGAGGGCGGCCGAGGCUUGUCCCUGUUUCCUAAGCAGAAAGGUCACCCCUCGCCACCCCCGGUAACAUUAAAAGGCUUUUUUUUUUUCAUUCUGGCAGGUCGGCACGGGUCACAACCCGCCAAGAACCUCCCGGUAGCGCUCUGGCCUUUAGUGUAUGCACCAAAGGCGCCACGGGACAGAUAGCACAAAAAUAGGAUGGGAAGAUGGAAAUGGCAUGACAGACCGUCGCUGCAUACUCACCCCCUAACAGCAGCUCCGGGGCAGCUUUCAGCUCACCCCAGAUUUCUGCAGGCGUCCAUGCAGCGUGUGUCACGUCACGUGCGCACCAGCCUUGGCACUCACCACCUGAAGUGUGCCCAGACAUCUGCCUGCCGGCCCAGCACAGUGGGCCAGGGCCAGGCUCCCUGGCAAGGAACGAGGUGCCCCGAGACCAGCCCUGUGCUGGGAGGCAGCCAGAGGCGCGGGCGCUCUUGCCUCAGGUCGCCCAUGCAGACGGCCGGCCAGAGCAGACUCGGUGGGACACGGGCUUCUUGUGCCACGUGAGCCGCUUCUCGUGCAAUGCGAGGACUUGUCACCUUGGAUCUCCAGUGGGGACAGAGCCAGGUGCGUCUUCACAGAAGGGGCUCGCUGGAUUGCAGUUCUGGGUGCAACCGUAUCAAAAACACAGAAACACUGAAGAAAGUCAUGGAACUAUGUAAGGUAGGGCUGAAAGAAACCUUGAGACAUUACCCCCCAAGAUGGACAAGUGCAACUUUAUCAAGAGGGAGAAGGAAAGAUUAAAGCUUCAAUACAUAUAAACUGGAUAAAGGAAGGAUAAUCACGUUUGGGAGGCAGAAGAGCCUUCCACCUCUAUAACAUCUCAUUUCCAAGCCAGAAGUGACCACGAGUUGAUGGAACGACUGCCUGGCAGCUGAGUCUGUAGCUUAGUGAUUUUCUGAGUGGAGGAAUUUGAAAACAUGGAAUAAACUCAGCAAGCGAGAUAACGAAAAGGAUGGGCAAAGGAGGUAUCUCUGACUGAAUCGUCCGUCAGCGCUUUUUCAGAUCAGAGGACAGAGGAGAGCUUAUGUUAGGCACAUGGCCAUCUGAAGAGGUAGUUAAUAUGGCUCAGCUGUGUUUCCAUCAGAUUUCAGAAGAGAAUUAUUUUCAUGCCUUCUCCUUCCUACUUGGUACAGUGGUGGAGAAAUCGACAAAUAAAGAUUUUUCUGUUUGACUCUUUUCAGAUAUACUAACCAGUCUUUCAUCCUUUGUGCAGCAAGAGACAACAAAGUCAAUUAGACCUCUUCCCUUCCCAGCUUAACUCAUCCUACACGCUCCUACACGAAUAUUCUGCCAGUACCUUGGGGUAUGGAUUUUUACUUGAACUGAAGUAUAAACUGCUCUUUUAUACCACGUUUUGAAUGAAAAAUCUCUACCAGGAACCAAAACCAGAGGCAAAACAUCUAGGAAUUGCCUGAUACCGUACCGAGUAGUUCAGUGGAAGAUCUGGGCAGGGGGAAGAUUUCUGUUCUUGCAUGUGCUUUUAGAGAAGCACUUCUGAGGUAAAGAUUUGGAUAUGGGACAUCAAAGCAGAAUCCAUUCAACUUAAAAUUGUUUUCUGCAGCCAGCGGCCACACAACAGGACUUCAGGACUAAUAGCACCACUGACCCAUACCACUAGAUAAACAGUUUUGCUGUGAUGGAGAUUGGCUCCAACAACCAAGCUGUCAUUUAAAGCGCAAAAAGAUGUCCUGAACAAUAGUGAUAGCUCAUGUGCAGUAUGAAGGAGAUUGGUAUGACCAACAGAAGGCUCUGUUGUGGGUCUAUUUAAAAGAUGGAGAGAGAUGUAUUCUGCAGGGAGUGAACUAGUUUUGUCACCUAUCUAUCUCUUGCUAAUAGUAAAGAGAAAUUAGACAUGGUCACUGUUAAACGCUGUUACACUUUAAUUGCACUCGUAUUUCCUUCUACAGAAUUUGUAAUUUUGCA